rnacentral:rRNA from 1 species
UGGGGAAUAUUGCACAAUGGGCGCAAGCCUGAUGCAGCAACGCCGCGUGAGGGACGACGGCCUUCGGGUUGUAAACCUCUUUUAGUAGGGAAGAAGCGAAAGUGACGGUACCUGCAGAAAAAGCACCGGCUAACUACGUGCCAGCAGCCGCGGUAAUACGUAGGGUGCAAGCGUUGUCCGGAAUUAUUGGGGCGUAAAGAGCUCGUAGGCGGUUUGUCGCGUCUGCUGUGAAAACCCGAGGCUCAACCUCGGGCCUGCAGUGGGUACGGGCAGACUAGAGUGCGGUAGGGGAGAAUGGAAUUCCUGGUGUAGCGGUGGAAUGCGCAGAUAUCAGGAGGAACACCGAUGGCGAAGGCAGUUCUCUGGGCCGUAACUGACGCUGAGGAGCGAAAGCGUGGGGAGCGAACAGGAUUAGAUACCCUGGUAGUCCACGCCGUAAACGUUGGGCGCUAGAUGUGGGGACCAUUCCACGGUUUUCCGUGUC